rnacentral:rRNA from 1 species
UACGUAGGGGGCAAGCGUUGUCCGGAAUCAUUGGGCGUAAAGCGCGUGUAGGCGGUCCGAUAAGUCGGUUGUGAAAGUCAAGGGCUCAACCCUUGAAUGCCGACCGAUACUGUCGGGCUAGAGUCCGGAAGAGGUGAGUGGAAUUCCUGGUGUAGCGGUGAAAUGCGCAGAUAUCAGGAGGAACACCAAUAGCGAAGGCAGCUCGCUGGGACGUUACUGACACUAAGGCGCGAAAGCGUGGGGAGCGAACAGG